CAGUCGCGUUCUCUGGGAUUCAGCCUUACCUCGGUUUGGUGCAUUUCCUUGUGAACGGGCCAGCGUCAAUGUUGUUCGUUGGAAAAGGGUUAGAGAAAUGUGGCUCUUUCGGGAGUGUUAUAGUCUCUGAUCGUAUACAACGGCUGAUAUUGAGUGGUACAGCAUGCUUCGGCGGUGCUUGUGCUAGCAUAAUGGCUUUGAACGACCCGUCUUAGAAACACGGACCAAGGAGUCUAACAUAUAUGCG
rnacentral:rRNA from 1 species